UACAGAGGUCUCAAGCGUUGUUCGGAUUCAUUGGGCGUAAAGGGUGCGUAGGUGGCGCUGUAAGUCGGGUGUGAAAUUUCGGAGCUUAACUCCGAAACUGCAUUCGAUACUGCGGUGCUUGAGGACUGGAGAGGAGACUGGAAUUCCUGGUGUAGCGGUGAAAUGCGCAGAUAUCAGGAGGAACACCGGUGGCGAAGGCGGGUCUCUGGGCCGAAACUGACGCUGAGGAGCGAAAGCGUGGGGGAGCAAACAGG
rnacentral:rRNA from 1 species